AUUUUGGAGGGAACUCAGAGUAUUUGUGUGACCUCCAAUCAGCAAAUGGCUGCUUAAGUCUAUUUUGAGUUUAUAUCCAGUUAGCCAUUCGGGAUCCAUCUUGAAUUUCUAGAGGUGCAACUUACGGACUUGAGAUCUUCCUCUUUUCUCACAGCUUCAACCCCUGAAGCCACCAAAUUCAAAGGUCUAUGAGUCUUCUCCUUACUGUAGGUGGGUGAAUUUGCUGUUUCUGGAUAUACUCACGUUUAUUCCAACUUCUAUUCAGUCUGCAGUGAGGAAAAUAACUCUGACUUUGCCUUGUUUUCUGCUGCAGCACAACAGGGCAUGCCAAGAGAACUCUGUAGGGAAGGCUCAAAAUUAAAUGAAUUUUACUCAAGUACUGAAUUUUCAGCAAGCCAAAGAACUUCUUUUCAGUGGUUUUAUUUGGUAUUUUCACCAGAGCUUUCUCACAUAAUCGUCUCCUUUCUUUUGUUCCCUGUCGUCAAAUGCAUGGCCUCUGAUGCUGAACAUUCCCCGGGGGAGAGACAUGGAUGAUCACAAUGGCCCAGCAUGGGUCUUGGCACUCGAUGUGUGAGGCAAGUUAGCACCAAGCUGCAGGGCUGCAAGUGGGGCAGAGCUUCUCCAGGCCUUCCUAUGGGGCUUCAUCACACUCUGUAGCUUUUCCUCGAGUUCAAAUCCUGUCCACAGACAAACUUCUAACAAAGCUUUUGUUGUUCUGAUGA